UCCGUGUUCACCACGGCAGUCUCUUUAGAGUGCCCAACUGAAUGCUGGCAACUAAAGACAAGGGUUGCGCUCGUUGCGGGACUUAACCCAACAUGUCACCACACGAGCUGACGACAGCCAUGCAGCACCUGUCACUCGGCUGUAUUGCUACAGAAGCCGUAUUUCUACGGAUGUCCGAGGAUGUCAAACCCAGGUAAGGUUCUGCGCGUUGCUUCGAAUUAAACCACAUGAUCCACCGCUUGUGCGGGCCCCCGUCAAUUCCUUUGAGUUUUAGUCUUGCGACCGUACUUCCCAGGCGGGGUACUUAUUGCGUUAGCGCCGACUCGGCAGGGGUCAAGUCCCACCAAGUCUAGUACCCAUCGUUUACAGCGUGGACUAC
rnacentral:misc_RNA from 1 species